CUGCCUGUCCCACAACUUUACAUGGUGAUAGUUCUGUACAAGAUAGUUUCAUUGGAAAUUAAUUAAGUCUUCAAGAAGACAAGAUAGUGCUUAUAAGGAGACAUCAUCAGACCACCCUAUUUGACACAGGCACAAACACCAUCACCACUGUACACUCCCUAAAAAGCAGCUGCUCAAAUUCACACACACACACCCCCUCUUACCUACCCCUCGACUCUUGUGAUCAUCCCUGCACAUGUGGCC
rnacentral:lncRNA from 1 species